rnacentral:lncRNA from 1 species
CAGCGCCGUCGCCCGGCGCAGUGAGGACGUCUGGGCUCGGGCCGAGCAGGCGCUCCGGGACGCGCGGCCCCCCCCGCCCGGCCCUGCGCCCCAGCGGAAGCCCGACAAAGCCCAGCUGCUGCAGGAGCUGGCAAUGCUCAAGGUGUGCGGCUGGGGGGGGGGUGGACACCUGGACCCCUCCCCUGCUCCCGCGGGGUCCAGAGCAGGGUGCACGGCUCGAGCACCCUGCAAAGGGCUGCUGGGCUGGGCGGGGGCACCCCGGGGUGACGCUGUGCCCCCCAGGAGGCCAUGGCCGACCUGCGGACGCAGCUGCAGCUGGAGGAGACGGAGAAGCGGGGCCUGGCAGUGCUGGCGGCGGCGCAGGGGCCGCGGGAGGCGGCGCUGCUCCUGCUGCUCCAGCACCUGGAGCAGGAGCGGGGCGGGGGGCCUGGCAGCCCCGAGGAGGAUGCCCAGCCCGGCGGGACGGGCGCGACGGCUCCCCAGCGCCCCGCGGACCUGGAGAGCACGGCGCGAGAGCUGCUCGGCGCGCUGGCUCGGACGGAGGAGCUGCAUUCCCGGGCCCGGGCCCUGGCGCUCGCCCUGGAGCAGGCCAGCGCCGUCAGCCGGGCGCAGCAGGCGCAGUGCAGCGCCGUCACCGGCGACUUCUUCCAGGCUCACAGGUGGGCAGGGGGCACGCAGCCCCCCCUCAGCACGCCCCACAUGCACGGUCCGCCUCGGCACGCCCCAGACACGCGGUCCCCCCUGC